rnacentral:rRNA from 1 species
CCACCCUUUAAUGUUUGAUGUUCUAACGUGGACCCGUAAUCCGGGUUGCGGACAGUGUCUGGUGGGUAGUUUGACUGGGGCGGUCUCCUCCUAAAGAGUAACGGAGGAGCACGAAGGUUGGCUAAUCCUGGUCGGACAUCAGGAGGUUAGUGCAAUGGCAUAAGCCAGCUUGACUGCGAGCGUGACGGCGCGAGCAGGUGCGAAAGCAGGUCAUAGUGAUCCGGUGGUUCUGAAUGGAAGGGCCAUCGCUCAACGGAUAAAAGGUACUCCGGGGAUAACAGGCUGAUACCGCCCAAGAGUUCAUAUCGACGGCGGUGUUUGGCACCUCGAUGUCGGCUCAUCACAUCCUGGGGCUGAAGUAGGUCCCAAGGGUAUGGCUGUUCGCCAUUUAAAGUGGUACGCGAGCUGGGUUUAGAACGUCGUGAGACAGUUCGGUCCCUAUCUGCCGUGGGCGCUGGAGAACUGAGGGGGGCUGCUCCUAGUACGAGAGGACCGGAGUGGACGCAUCACUGGUGUUCGGGUUGUCAUGCCAAUGGCACUGCCCGGUAGCUAAAUGCGGAAGAGAUAAGUGCUGAAAGCAUCUAAGCACGAAACUUGCCCCGAGAUGAGUUCUCCCUGAGACUUAGA